AUUGAACGCUGGCGGCAGGCCUAACACAUGCAAGUCGAACGAGUGGCGGACGGGUGAGUAAUGUCUGGGAAACUGCCUGAUGGAGGGGGAUAACUACUGGAAACGGUAGCUACUACCGCAUACCAUCGGAUGUGCCCAGAUGGGAUUAGCUAGUAGGUGGGGUAAAGGCUCACCUAGGCGACGAUCCCUAGCUGUUCUGAGAGGAUGACCAUGCGCUCGUGAACUGAUACACGGUCCAGACUCCUACGGGAGGCAGCAGUGAGGAAUAUUGCACUAUGGGCGCAAGCCUGAUGCCGCCAUGCCGCGUGUAUGAAGAAGGCCUUCGGGUUGUAAGGGACUUUCAGCGGGGAGGCGUUACCCGCAGAAGAAGCACCGGCUAACUCCGUGCCAGCAGCCGCGGGAAUUC
rnacentral:rRNA from 1 species